GGAGCUUGCUUAUAGUGCUAGCCUUUGCAAUGCUUCUUGAUCUCCAGUCUUUGCUGAUCUUCACUUUGUUGAGAGAGGCACAGCCGAGAACUUCUCCUGUCAUCCCCGAUGGUCCUGGCUCCUCCUGUUGACUCCUGCAGAUUCGACUGAGGGUUGGAUGUUCCUGCUAGGCUGUGCCACCGAUGGACUGCUGGUAUAGUCAUGAAGUGUUUGCAAGUGGAUGAAGCUGCCGCUGCUGAUCUGUAAGCUGAACUGCUGGCUUCCUGACUGCACAGAUGGGAUUUGCUCCAAAGUACCAUUUCUAAACAGGUCCACUUCCCCCAUAUACUCCUUUCUUUUCCACUACCUCUGGUGGGUUGUAGCCUCCCCCAGCCUUGAGCAGGCUGGCUCAGACCUGUUCCACCUCUGUGAAUGAGACCACCUAGGGUAGAGUCUUCCGACCUAGAUAGGUCUAUUGCUCUGCCGCCUCAGCACUUUUCUCCAAGAUGCUGCCUACCAGCCGAGAGGCUGAACCUGUCUUCCUGAGACCUUCAUGAAUAAGCAACAGCCUGGUGACCAAGUGCUGACAGCCUGGCGACAAAGCAUCAAGAACUUGGCAUGGUGGCGGAUGGGCCUUCCCCCUUUAUAAGCUCAGACUCUUAAGUAAACUUUGGGCCUUGAUCAGUU
rnacentral:lncRNA from 1 species